rnacentral:rRNA from 1 species
GCAGUCGACGAUGACCUGGAGCUUGCUCUAGGGAAUUAGUGGCGAACGGGUGAGUAACACGUGAGUAACCUGCCCUUGACUCUGGGAUAACCUCCGGAAACGGAAGCUAAUACCGGAUAUGACGCACGGAGGCAUCUCCUGUGCGUGGAAAGAACUUCGGUCAAGGAUGGACUCGCGGCCUAUCAGGUAGUUGGUGAGGUAACGGCCCACCAAGCCUACGACGGGUAGCCGGCCUGAGAGGGUGACCGGCCACACUGGGACUGAGACACGGCCCAGACUCCUACGGGAGGCAGCAGUGGGGAAUAUUGCACAAUGGGCGAAAGCCUGAUGCAGCAACGCCGCGUGAGGGAUGACGGCCUUCGGGUUGUAAACCUCUUUUAGUAGGGAAGAAGCGAAAGUGACGGUACCUGCAAAAAAAGCA